AUUGAUGAUGAUGGAGUAGCAUUUUUAAGCGACCUUCUCACUCAUGAAGGCAUCAGUUUUCCCACUAAUGCUAUCCAUUCCGCAUUCACUCGUUAGAUACCCUUCAAAGGCUUCUUCAUUGAGAAUUCUAGCACUUUAAGGUGGGCUCAUUGCGAGAGCAGCAAGCCAGGCCGUUCUACUCAUAGUGAAAGGUGGGUUCUUCAUUCAACAGAAGAAUAUGCAGAGAACAUAAUUGCUCAAACUGGACUCAAGAAGCAAUCAG